UGCAGUGAGCAUCAGCAGACAACGCUGUCCCUAUGGGCAGGCCUGUAAACUUGUGAGACCACAUCGGGCUCCCAACUCUGCCUUCAAAGGGCUCAUGGCCAGGGGCAGAAGAGGCCACCACUCCCAAGACACCCAUCCCCAGAGUCCAGAGGCCCUGAACCUAACUCACCAUGACACCUGCAGAUUAUUUACUGUGGUCGGGGGAGGGCAUGUCUAUGAUGUCAUCAGCUACCUAGCUUCUAAUAGGUGAGAGUGCUGUGGAGAAGCUGAGAAGUGGGGUCAGAGAGCACAUCACCAAGGGAGACACAAGAACAGACUGUUGGAGCCAGCAAGCUGCAACCAGCAAUCCUGGGUGCCUAGACAGCGAGCUCAGAUCUGCUGCUCAUCACAAGCCUGGACCUCCAGCAGCACUUCUCUGCCUCGGCUCUGACAGCCUUGGCGAUUGCUUCCCUGCCCCCUCUCCAGCAGCGAACCGGGUGCUCAGAGAGGUUAAGAAAAGAAUCCAAAGCUUCUCAGUGGCAGAGUCCCAGACAAGUGAAGAAUCCUGCCCUCUUCACCUCAUGCUUCAGCCUUCUACAAUCUCAAGCAGGAACCUGGCACUCCACUGAGGUGCCUCAGGACCCUUCCCUCUGGAGGUGGAAGAUGGAGUCGCUGCAAUCUAACUUGAAUACGACUCCUGCAGAGCAUGGCAGGUGCGGAGGCUCACCUCGUCCGGAGCAUGUAUCUCCCUCCUCACUUCCAGCACCCAGAACCACACACACACACAGCAGGCUGGCCAUGGGUCCUGCUGAGGGUCCUGUGGGGGGUCCGUGGGUCUGUGAACAGCUUUAAUUCAACAGCUCAGCUGGUCUACCCAGGUACUCUUCAUUUCACCCCCUGGUGGACACUUAUUAACCCAGUUAUCCCCUUUUCCAGAGGGGAAAGCUGAGGCUCAGAGAGGAAGGGCCCAGGAAAAGGCUGGUCCUCCCUGCAUUUAGGAGCUGGAAGUCUGAUCUAGGCAAAGCCUGGGGUGGGUGGUUUAUGGCCCAAAAGCAGAGGGGAUGACAGCUGUGGGGAGGAAGGGGCCAGCGAGGCUGUUGGCCUCUCUCCUAGCACCUGGUCAUGUUUGACAAUGAGGGGAGGGAGGCUUGCCCCAUGGAAAGCAGCUAUCAGACUGAGUAAAUGAAGCACCAGACCCUUAAACAAUGACACUUCAGAGAAGAAAGCAUCCUUUCUUGUAUGGCAUAAGUUUACCUCAUA